rnacentral:lncRNA from 1 species
AAAAGUAAGGAUUUCAAAUGACCUAUGCCUUCAAUAUUUCAUCAAAGUAUAAUCAACAGCCUAAUUGUAAAAUCACGUUACUUAUGAUUUCUUAUGUUUAUUGAUUUUAUAUGUUGAAUUGGGUCACAUCCAGUCUACAUUCAUUCAGUCUAAAUAGUUGGUCACUUAAGUACUUCAUUUAAACCUUGUUGCUUUCUCUUGCAUACUGCACUAAAUCAUAAUCAUUGAAUCAUGCUUAGUUUGUUCAAACUGAUCAUGUUCACAAUUGGCCAAGAACACCUUUUGAUUCUGCUCUAAAAAAUAUCAAAUAAACUUCUUAAAUGAGAUUCAUAAAAUCUUUCAUGGAACAACGACGUGCUGCUGUUUUGUAAAGGGUUAGGUAAGUGAAAAAUAUCAUAAUAAGUUGUUCAAUAUGUUUAUCAGAAAUUUUCACCAAAUGUCUGCCAAUCCAUUUAUGAAUUUUAAAAAUUUGUGUCAAAUAAUUUGCUGGUUAUUUUGAAGUCAGGAAAAUUAAAAUAUUUUUUUUAAACUGACAGAUGUUAUUUUGAAAUUGAUAGAGUAUGUCAAAUACCAUAGAAAUAUUGUGAUAUAUAGUGGAAAAGGGAUUUAUAAUCAUGAUUCUGAAAUCUAUUAUUAUCAUUGAGAUUGUGACAAAAAUUCAAAGAGUUUGGUAAAAUAAUCGAUCAUCUUCAUAGUACCUCGACGAUUUGGCCGGUAUAUCACCUCCUGCAUCGACUGGAUCUACUGGUAAUUUAUUUCUUGAUCUUGAUACACGAGAUCUGCAUUACAGAAAAAAGAAGGAAUUUGCUAGACUUUUAUAACUCGUGCAUUAAAAAAAUAUUCAUAAAGUUUCAUAAAAAACAUUCCUUUUUUUUUUCAAUUUUUAUCAAACAAUUUGAUGUAAUACUACUUUAAAGCAGUUUCAUAUUUUCAAUUUGUUCAUUGAUCAAUUAUAUUCAAAAUUAAAUAUAUUUUUUCUAAUAGAAAUUCAAUAGUAAUAAUAAUAUUAUUAUAAACACAUAACAACAUUGUAACUUAGGGUUCUCCAUUUAUACCAAAUAAAUAAAUAUAUUCAUCUGAUCAGGGUCCAAAAGCGCCUUUUAACCCGUUUGGUGGGAACAGCAUUGAAAAACAAGAAUGCAAAAGGCAUCUUUCGACAUCCACUAAAGUCUGGCUUAUGCUUUAGUAGUUUAUUGUCAGCCGUUGCACAAGUACAACCUUCUGUUCUCACUCUCUUGUACACUUAUUUAAUUAUGAAAAAUUAAACUUUCUAUAUUUUUUUUUCACUUGCAAGCCGGCCUUCUGUUUUGAGCCUCGUUUUCCCGAAUUCCGUAAACGUAUGUAGUACAAUGAAUGUAUUUGCAAGACAUCAUUAAACGUCCUUUGCCUCUUACAUUUGUUUAAUAGAAGGCUAACAGUGUCUUGAAAUGUCCCAGCUCUAAGGGCCUUUUUUUAAGUUUAUAUGUGUAUUCAACAUGGCGACCAAGUCAGGUGGUAAAUCAGAUGUCCUCAUAGUAAAUGAUGAAACAUUUGGUGAAAAAACAUUUAAAUGUUGCCAAUCUAAAUCAAACAAAUAUCUAACAUGUGUAGAGUGCGGAAACAGCUAUCAUGUGUGUCAUGUACUGCAAAAACCAGACUGAAAUGCAUCAAAAUCAGUGACAGCAGGAUAAACUGUUGUACUUUUAACUUCAAACAAGUCCGUGAAGAUAGAGCGACAAAUGAAAAUGAAAAGCUGAAGAUUGAAAAUGGGAUGCUAAAAAAAAUAUAAGUGAAAAAGAUGAUAAGUAUACUUUGCUUAUGGAAAAUAAUAAAUUAUUACAAAUAAACAAUAACCUAUUGCAAGAAAAGAUCGAUUCAUUAAAAGUGGAAACAAACAAAAAAUCAAAGCCCAAAGAAAAACAUAAAUACAGUGAAGUGGUAAAAACAAACCUACAGACAGUUACAAAAAACUUAUCCAGUUUUUCCCAAGGAGAUUCCACUCAAAGUGAUAUGGAGAUUGAUGACUCACAGGGGAAAAAUCUAAAAUUGCUUGAAGACAUCCAGCAAAGUAAAAUGACUGAAAUCAUAAAUCUACCAAAUAAUAAUGAUGAUAGAAAUGAAGAAAAUAAUUUCAAAACAGUUUCAUACCAGAAAAAAAAGAAGGAACAGAAGACCAGUAAAAACAUUGGAGAAAAUGAAGACAGUAACAAGUUCGGGGUUGAGAGAAAAAUCUGGCUAUACUUGUAUAGAAACAGACAUAGUAUAACUACAGAAAAAAUCGCAGAAUAUAUAAAGAGCAUAGAAGACCCGAAAGAUGCUGAAACAGUGAUCAAAGAACUACCAACAAAUGAAAACCAAAAUAAAUGUUUCAUGUUUGGUAUAAAUGAGUCGUUUAAAGAUAUCAUCUACAGAAAAACAACAUGGCCCAGAAGUGUAGAUUUCAAGCGGUUUGAUUUUCAUAAAUACAAUCAAUAUCAAAGAAAGGAGGAUUUUUAGUUACGGACCCACCAAAACCCUCCAACAAAAUUAAACCGAAUAGAAAGAAUCAGCCUCAUUCACCAGAAUCUGCAAUCAAUAGGAAAUAGUGUAGAAGAUCUGAACCUUUUGCUAAAUCAACAUAGAAAUGGUUACUUCGUAGCGGUGACAGAACAUUGGAAAUGUGAAUGGCAAUUAAAACUUUAUGGGAUCCAAAACUUCAAACUCGCUUCUUUUUAUUGUCAUUCUGAAAAUGAACAUGGUGGGGCGGCAGUUUACGUUAAUAAUAAUAAUGAUGAUCAUCUUUAUUUUUCUUUUUGACAUGAUUGAACACGUAUAGAAAUCGUCAGGUACAUAGAAAAUGGCAUACGUAAUAAUAGUAAAAGUUAAAGAAGAUAUGAUUUACAAAGUGUUGAAAAAAUAUUAAUAGUGUCUUUAAAAAACGCAUAUUUGAAUGUGCAGCAAUUGAAUGUUCAAUAGAUAAUAAGAAUAUCA